CUCAGGAUGAACGCUAGCGGCAGGCUUAACACAUGCAAGUCGAGGGGCAUCGGGAGUAGCAAUACUUGCCGGCGACCGGCGCAAGGGUGCGUAACGCGUGAGCAACAUGCCCGUAUCAGGGGGAUAAUCCAUGGAAACGUGGUCUAAUACCCCAUAGUAAUUAUGUAAGGCAUCUUAUAUAAUUUAAAGCUUUGGUGGAUACGGAUUGGCUCGCGUGACAUUAGCUAGAUGGUAAGGUAACGGCUUACCAUGGCUACGAUGUCUAGGGGUUCUGAGAGGAAGGUCCCCCACACUGGAACUGAGACACGGUCCAGACUCCUACGGGAGGCAGCAGUGAGGAAUAUUGGACAAUGGAUGGAAAUCUGAUCCAGCCAUGCCGCGUGCCAGGAAGACGGCCCUAUGGGUUGUAAACUGCUUUUGUAUGGGAGCAAUAAGGGCUACGUGUAGUCCGAUGAGAGUACCAUACGAAUAAGCACCGGCUAACUCCGUGCCAGCAGCCGC
rnacentral:rRNA from 1 species